rnacentral:rRNA from 1 species
GACAGAGGUGCCAAGCGUUUAGGCGGAAUCACUGGGCUUAAAGCGUGUGUAGGCGGGUUUGUAAGUACCUUGUGAAAUCCCCACGGCUUAACCGUGGAACUGCUGGGUAUACUGCGAAUCUUGAGCUGUCUAGGGUUGCGGGAACAAACGGUGGAGCGGUGAAAUGCGUAGAUAUCGUUUGGAACGCCAAUGGUGAGAACACGCAACUGGGGACAUGCUGACGCUGAGACACGAAAGCCAGGGGAGCGAACGGG